rnacentral:lncRNA from 10 species
CAUGUUUGACAUUAAGCAAAAUAGUUUUUAAUAAUCAUAUUUUAUUUUUAUUUUAUUAUUUUAAUUGCAUCUAGGCCAUGAGUCUUACAUGAAAACAAUCUUAUUUGGAAAUUCUUCACAUCAUAUUAUGUUGAAUUAAAAGCAAAAUGUCAACUUUCCCACCUUAAUAUUUCAUGAAAAAGAAAAACAGCAAAAUCAUGUAAGUCACAUUUCAAGUACUUGUCAGACACAUCCACACUCAUACACAAACAAGGUUUGUUUUUUCUAGUACCAAUCCAGCCAUAAUAAAGAACACAAGCAGUAAGAAUAAAACAGGAAUGUGAACAAGGGACACUAUAUGAAGCAUUGGAAAAACACAUUGUGUUCUCAUUAAUCAAACUUCAAACCCACAGAUUUUACAAGAAUAAUUUAAGAAGAUGCUGCCUCAGUUCUCAGGCUAUCAAAAACUUCAAACUAAAAGACUUUUUAAAAUUAUUACUAAGGGCUGGGCAUGGUGGCUCAUGCCUGUAAUCCCAACACUGGGAGAUCAAAGCAAGUGGAUCACUGGAGCCUAGAAGUUCAAGACCAGCCUGGGCAACAUGGCAAAAAAACAUCUCUACCAAGAAAUAGCUGGGUGUGGUGGUGCACAUCUGUGGUCCCAGCUACUCAGGAAGCUGAGGUGGGAGGAUCACUAGAGCCCAGGGAGGUUGAGGCUGCAGUGAACCAUGAUCACACCCCUGUACUCCAGCCAGCACAACAGAGUGAAACCCUGUCUCAAAAAAAUAAAAUAAUAUUAUUACUGUUACACACGUCUGUGUGAAGAGACGGCCAAACAGGCUUUGUGUGAGCAAUAAAGCUUUUUGAUUCCCUGGGUGCAGGCAGACUGAGUCUGAAAAAGGAGUCAGCAAAGGGAGAUGGGGUGGGCCAGUUUUAUAGGAUUUGGGUAGGUAGUGGAAAAUUACAGUUAAAGGGGUUUUCUCUUGAGGGUAGGGGUGGGGGUCACAAGGUGCUCGGUGGGGAGCUCCUGAGACUCAUUGUCCAGGAGAAGGAAUGUCACAAGCUCAAUUGAUCAGUUAGGGUGGGACAGGAACAAAUCACAGUGGUAGAAUGUCAUCAGUUAAGGCAGGAAUUGACUAUUUCACUUCUUUUGUGGUUCUUCAGUUGCUUCAGGUCAUCUGGAUGUAUCCGUGCAGGUCACAGGGGUUAUGAUGGCUUAGCUUAGGCUCAGAGGCCUGACAAUUACUAUAGACUGAAAAACACUUUCAGAUGUUGAAGAAAAGUUUGUAAGAUUUUUCCAAGCCUAUCAAUCCUAGAUACAAAGUUCUUUUUAGAAAAUUUGUCACUGAGUUAUAUUUUAUUGGUGCUAACAAGUAUUUCACUUCAGUCUUUUGUACAUCAGACACUUGUAUAGCAAGGCAGGUUUGUGAUAAAUUCUUCUUGAUCUUCUUCACUUGUGUAUGGGCAUUGGAGGAGCUUUCCCCUUGCCCUCAGAGGGUUUGCUGAAAAAAAUCAAUUUACAGUAAGGCAGAUUAAUAGGACAAAAAGCAUACAAAUUUAUUUAACCAUGUGCUCGAGAAGAAUCAUAGAGUGAUUACCCAAUUUCCCAACAGGGCCCAGACACUUCUAUAACCUCUUUCAGAGGGGAGGGGGAAGAUGGGGAAUAUAGAGGUAAUUCUGGUUGAGGGGCAUUAAAUAAUUACUAAGGAAAAAUGAAUAGGUACUUAGGAGAAUGAAUGGAAGGUGAGAACAGAAAUUGACUUGUAAAUGGUUUUCUUUGGAAGUUAAAAGAACCUGAGAGACAGGUAUUAUUUUGUAAAAUGGUUGGUUCUGGUAUGGUUAUAUUCUUCCUCUUCUUUCCUGAAAUAGUGAGAUAACAGGGAAGGGAAGAAAAGGCAAUUGUUCUUGAUGGGCCUAUCUGAUCUUUUUGAAGUUAGGGGAUAAGUUUCUUCUGAGGCCUGUUGAUUUAUAAAGUCUUUUAAUUCAAAAUAUACAUUAUACCAAGGAGCUUAUUCAUUCUCCCUGUCUGGAACUCCCCUAGAAGUUUCACACAUAAAAAGCUGAGUUAGGCCGGGCGCGGUGGCUCAUGCCUAUAAUCCCAGCACUUUGGGAGGCCAAGGUAGGUGGAUCAUGAGGUCAGGAGUUCAAGACCAGCCUGGCCAAGAUGGUGAAACCCCGUCUCUACUAAAAAUACAAAAAUUAGCUGGGUAUGGAUUAUAGGCGGGCACCUGUAAUUCCAGCUACUUGGAAGGCUGAGGCAGAGAAUUGCUUGAACCUGGGAGGCGGAAGUUGCAGUGAGCCAAGAUCACACCACUGCACUCCAGCCUGGGUGACAGAGUGAGACUCUGUCUCAAAAAAAAAAAAAAAAUCCUAAGUUAGUGGCUCUGGAGAGAGAAGUUGGUUUAGUAGCUGGGUAGUAAGAGAUCUGAAAAGGAAGAAAAGAACAUAGAUUAAAAUGAGAAAAGAACAUAUCUAAGCACACUUCCCCACACCCCAUUAAACCAGUCUCCCAUUCCCAGGAAUAGGUCAGACCAAUAGAACAGUUUAGCCUUGUUUACCUGAUGGAUAAUAUUUUACCUUGACCUUCAAGAGGUGCAGAUCAGUCUCUACUUGCCCUGAGCGGUUUAUGUAGAAACAGCAUUUGUCACCAAUAGCUGCACAAGCUCCUCCCUGUUGGGCUGUCAGCACAUUCAGGCUGCAGCAGUUCUAAAGUACAGCAGAAGCUGGACUGUUGACUUCUGACUGGAGUGCUCCCAAGGCUUGGGUAGUGAUACUGAAGUCUUGUUCUAUUGCCAUGGAAAGAUUUUAAACUGCCCUUUCAUUUUCUUAAGUUCCAAAUGCCAGGGGAAAAGUUCUGAGGACAUAAGAGAGGCAAUGUGACUUUGUUUCUCUGGUUCUGGAUGCCAUAUCUUGUCAUACAUCCAUCUUCUAGACUGAAUCCACCAGGUGCUCAUACAUUUCUUUGCCAACUUUGUUGGGUCCUGGAUUCCCUUCACUAUGGUCUCCAGAAGUGCACAAUGGCUUUGAUGAUUCUGCCAACUAUGCCAAAACCGUAGGGGCCAUGGGGAAGCUUCCCCCUUGCCCUAGAAAUGUUCACAGAAAAAAAAAUCAGCAAACCCUUUUCAGUGAAAAAAUCAGUGAACCAUUAUUGACUAUGCCAAAACUGUAGAGGCCAUGGAGAAGCUUCCCCCUUGCCCUAGAAAGGUUCACUGAAAAAAAAAAAAUCAGCAAAUUCUUUUCAAUGAAAAAAUUAGCGAACCAUUAUUGCCUCACAAUAAGGCUGACUAAUAAGAGAAAAGGCGUACAA